CAGUACUGGGUGGGGGGAACUGGCAGCAAUAUCUACAACAUCAAAAGACAAAACUCUACUGUCACAGGGGAACUACGGACAUCAUUACAACAUCUGCAAAGGGGUAUCCAAAUUGACUUCGAAAAUAUUGGAUUAUAUUACUUUCGGACCUUUCAUUUUUUUUUUAUCCUGCAGGAUUUACCACUGAAACAGGUUCUACGGGUCUCCGCCAUCAGGGUUCGUCCAGUCUGGGACCUUCACAUGUGGACUCUUAGGGCACACUAUUCACCCACAAAGGGAUGACCUAUCGCCUUGCGAUUAGCUGGUUUUGCUUAUGGCCUUUUCUAUUAGAUUUAGAGUAGAGUAGAAUCAAAUGGAAUUGUCUGUAAACCCUUGUUGGAACACCUUCAGGACAAUUUCAAGAUCUGAAACCAGUAUGACACUCUAGUCUUGCCAUAUUUUACAUAUAAUGUUUACCAUAGCAACAGCUCAAACAUUGUUGAGGUAAGUAAUCAAGUAGUGCAUUAAGGAAUUGAAAGAAGAGACCUUUCCAAGCUAGGUCACAUAUAAACCUUGCACAUGCAUAAUAAAUACCCAUGAUCUUUCCGAUGCAGAUGAGAUUCCCCAGUGUAGCGUUAUUGCUUUGCAUGUUAUGUCUCAUCUGAAAAUAUUGUCACAGUACUGAUGAUGAAGACCCCAAACCACCAGCCACAUCAAUGGGUGUUAGAUAUAGCUAGAUAUAUAGAGAGUUGUAGUAUGACCAGUCCACAAGGGUGCCCUAUGUGCCCCUUGAAAACCAUGAUGGCUUUUAUUUCCUGUGACGUCACAUGUAUGACCCCUGAUAAUAAACAAGUUGCACAUGUGCCCAUGCUUACUAUAUGUGCCCAGGACCCCGAAAACUCAAAACAGGGCAUGAUUCUGUGUAAUAAUUAUAACAAAAGAGAUCCCACAAAUGGAUUUCAUUCCACCUAAUAAAAAGUGGACUGUUAAUCUAUAUGUGUUGAUGUACUGUAUGUUACAUGUAUAUGAUAUGAUAGGGAGGGGAAUAGUUAUGCAUGUUAAAUUGAAUAUACACCCUUCCAUCAGAAUACUGUUAAUGUUUUGGCUGUACUAACUGAACACUAAUGUGGGCUUUGCAGGGCUUCUUGGCUAAUGAUCUGAAAGUAGCUGUGUAUCUGUCUGUCAGUCAAACUAGCCUCCAUAUCAUGGCCAUGCACCUGGGCAGUCUAAGCCUGCUGAUUUACACAAAGAUGACAGCCACACCAGAUUGCCAGCCUGAUUCAAUUCGCAAACAGCGGGCCUAAGGCCACAGUCAAUAUUUCCCUGUAGUGUGACUGAAGGUCAUACCCUUUGUCUACUUGAACAGCCCCCCCAGAACAUGAGCUGUCACUAGGAAAUUGUCUGGCAAGACCACAGUGAUCUAGAGCCUGAGUGCCAUUUAGAUUAAUAAUGCCAUGUACUGUAUGCUUUGGUGCUAAACAAGAGAGAUAGGCAGAUCUGACAACCACACAGAUGUUUUCAAAUAGUCAAACCUUGGGAGCAAAACCCUCAAAAGAAUUUAAUCUGACUUAUUUGAAAGAAAAAAAAGUGAAUGGAAUGGUUUAAUUAGCAUUACUGAUGACAAAUUGUUUUCAAUGUUCAUUUUUAGUCUUGUGUCCACUGUACUCGUCUUUUAAGUGUCUUAGAUUAAAAUGUUCUUGACAUGAACUGUCACUGAAAAGUGGCAACAAACGUCCAUUGUGCUCUCGCUAAUCUUUCUAAGACUCAGAAGUCUGUAUUGUGACUUUUUCUUUCUUUUGAGGCAUGUUCUAUGUGAUGUUGUAUUUGUUCUGUUACACAACUGUUCUGUGUCACUAAAGGCAGGCAGAACCUCUGGCAUAGAGGUAAUAAAAGAAAUCGCUUUGCA